rnacentral:rRNA from 1 species
AUUGAACGCUGGCGGCAGGCCUAACACAUGCAAGUCGAGCGGUAGAGAGAAGCUCGCUUCUCUUGAGAGCGGCGGACGGGUGAGUAAUGCCUAGGAAUCUGCCUAGUGGUGGGGGAUAACGUUCGGAAACGGACGCUAAUACCGCAUACGUCCUACGGGAGAAAGCGGGGGAUCUUCGGACCUCGCGCCAUUAGAUGAGCCUAGGUCGGAUUAGCUAGUUGGUGAGGUAAAGGCUCACCAAGGCGACGAUCCGUAACUGGUCUGAGAGGAUGAUCAGUCACACUGGAACUGAGACACGGUCCAGACUCCUACGGGAGGCAGCAGUGGGGAAUAUUGGACAAUGGGCGAAAGCCUGAUCCAGCCAUGCCGCGUGUGUGAAGAAGGUCUUCGGAUUGUAAAGCACUUUAAGUUGGGAGGAAGGGCAGUAAGUUAAUACCUUGCUGUUUUGACGUUACCGACAGAAUAAGCACCGGCUAACUUCGUGCCAGCCGCCGCCGUAACAC